AGGGAAUCUUCCAUAAUGGACGAAAGUCUGAUGGAGCGACGCCGCGUGAGUGAAGAAGGGUUUCGGCUCGUAAAACUCUGUUGUUAAAGAAGAACAUAUCUGAGAGUAACUGUUCAGGUAUUGACGGUAUUUAACCAGAAAGCCACGGCUAACUACGUGCCAGCAGCCGCGGUAAUACGUAGGUGGCAAGCGUUGUCCGGAUUUAUUGGGCGUAAAGCGAGCGCAGGCGGUUUUUUAAGUCUGAUGUGAAAGCCUUCGGCUCAACCGAAGAAGUGCAUCGGAAACUGGGAAACUUGAGUGCAGAAGAGGACAGUGGAACUCCAUGUGUAGCGGUGAAAUGCGUAGAUAUAUGGAAGAACACCAGUGGCGAAGGCGGCUGUCUGGUCUGUAACUGACGCUGAGGCUCGAAAGUAUGGGUAGCAAACAGGAUUAGAUACCCUGGUAGUCCAUACCGUAAACGAUGAAUGCUAAGUGUUGGAGGGUUUCCGCCCUUCAGUGCUGCAGCUAACGCAUUAAGCAUUCCGCCUGGGGAGUACGGCCGCAAGGCUGAAACUCAAAGGAAUUGACGGGGGCCCGCACAAGCGGUGGAGCAUGUGGUUUAAUUCGAAGCUACGCGAAGAACCUUACCAGGUCUUGACAUACUAUGCAAAUCUAAGAGAUUAGACGUUCCCUUCGGGGACAUGGAUACAGGUGGUGCAUGGUUGUCGUCAGCUCGUGUCGUGAGAUGUUGGGUUAAGUC
rnacentral:rRNA from 1 species